AUGCUGUUGGAAUAUCUGCGGAAGGCUUUCCUACCACAAAACUCUACUUUGCCAAAUUCUUAUUAUGAAGCUAAAAAAACUAUUCAGGAACUAGGACUGAGUUACAGGAAAAUUGAUGCUUGCACGAAUCAUUGCAUGCUCUACUGGAAAGAAGAUAUAAAUGCGGAGUCGUGCAAGGUGUGUGGAGCAUCUAGAUGGAAAGAGGACAAGCGCACAGGCACCACUCUGCACUCGGCAAAAGGGAAGAAGAUUCCACAAAAAACAAUGCAGUAUUUUCCCUUAAAGCCAAGGCUGCAAAGGAUGUUCAUGUGCCAGAAAACUGCUGAAUCCUUUAGGUGGCAUGCGGAGGGCAGGGUAGAUGAUGGUGUCCUUAGAUGCCCUGCUGACUCGAAAGCUUGGAAAUAUUUUGAUGCAAAAAACAUCCCAUUUGCAAAAGAAAUUCGCAAUCUUAGGUUUUGUCUAUCUUCUGAUGGUUUCCAACCAUAUAAAACCACGCUAACAUCUUAUAGCAUCUGGCCCGUAUUCCUUGUUCCCCUAAAUUUGCCCCCAUGGAUGUGCAUUAAACAAGAAAAUGUGAUGUUGUCCAUGUUGAUUCCAGGGCUUGAUGGUCCUGGUGAUGCAAUUGAUAUUUAUCUGCAACCACUUGUAGAGGAACUUAUUGAACUAUGGAACGAGGGAGUUGACACUUAUGAUGCAUCAAUGAAAACAAGUUUCACACUGCGUGCAGCACUUCUGUGGAUGGUCCAUGACUUCCCUGGCUAUGCCAACCUGUCUGGAUAUAGCACAAAAGGAAAAUUGGCUUGUCCGGUAUGCCACAGUGGGACUUGUUCAUUAAGGCUUAAAAAUGGUGGGAAGUUCUGUUACAUGGGUCAUCGACGCUUUCUUCAUAAAAACCAUAGGUGGAGGAAAGAUAAAAAAUCUUUUGAUGGUACCAUAGAAACCAGAGAACCACCAACACCCUUGACAGGACAAAAUGUGAUGGACCAAGUGGCUGAUCUAGAGGGGAUUAUCUUGUCUAAGGAUGCAAGUAAGAAGACAAAGGUGUCCCACGAUGAGAGAGGAGAUAGCUGGAACAAAAGAAGUAUAUUUUGUAAUUUGCCAUAUUUCAAAACUCUCUUGUUGUGCCAUAACCUUGAUGUCAUGCAUAUAGAAAAGAAUAUAUGUGAUAGUAUCAUGGCAACAAUUAUGGAUGUCAAAGGAAAAACGAAGGAUAACAUAAAUUCUCGGCGUGAUUUGCAACUAAUGAAAAUAAGGCCAGGUAUGCAUCCGGACAAGGAAGGGGACAAGCCUACUUUUCCAUCUGCGCCUUUCACUUUGCUUCCACCCAAUAAGAUUUUGUUCCUUCGGUUUUUUAAGGACCUCGAAGUUCCAGAUGGAUUUUGUUCAAACCUUGGCCGCUGCACUAAUAUGAAAGAGAAAAAAAAAUUCAGGACUGAAGAGCCACGACUGCCAUGUUAUACUAAAUCAUUUACUUCCUCUAGCACUGCGUGGACUUGUUCCCCAGAAUAUUUAUGA
rnacentral:rRNA from 1 species